CGGGCACGGCACGGCACGGCACGGAGCGCGGGGCCCCCGGGCGGCGCUGCCCGGGUUGGGGCCGUGGCAGGCGUUGUUUUCCUCGGAGAGCAGAGGAGGAGGAGGAGGAGGAGGAAAUCUCCGGGUUUUUAAUGAGGGGGUGCAGCGGGGCUGAGCGCUGGGAUUACACGGCGCGGAGCCGGAGCUGCGGGCUGUGUGUGUGCGCGCAGGGCUGGCCGUCCCCGCCUGUCUGCCUGCUAAUCGCACGUUUUCCGCUGUUAAAAAGAAACCGAGACGCUGUGGCCGAGCCCAGCGCUGUCUCUGUGACUGUGACAUGAAAAGAUGGCGCUCUCUCCCCUCCCCCAGCCUCCCUCUCGGCUUACACUUCCUCCCCAACAGCUUUUGCCUUCCAGUUUUUUAAAGCCCUCUUUUCUCCUUUCCUUCCCCCCCCCGCCCCCUCCUCCGGCCGGAUACCGCGAGCUUCCCAGCCGAUCGCAACGAGAGACUGAGAGGAAACACGCUGCUGCUGUGCAAAAUGUGGACCAUGUGUGGGAACUAUUUACUCAGAGUGCAACUGCAGGCACCAGGCGAGGGGCUGGCAGAGCCGGGGGGCGGCGGAGAGAGAGGCUACAUCUCUCUCGCCUUUUUUCCUCUCCCCUAAAGCCAAACCACAUCGCUGCAUGUGUAACGGUGCGUUUUACCGACUUUCUCGCUGGGCACAUGCUUUUUUUAUAAGUCCAAGGCUUUCGCGAUGCGCUUUUGUGUUUGCCCACCUCAAGCCUCUGCGGGCAAAGGGUUAAAUCUUCGGAGCAGUGGAAGGAAGCAGCUGAGUUUCAACAACAACAAAAAAAAAAGGUGGGGGGAGAAGAAAGGAGCGGGAGCAGGGAAGAAGCGAGGCGAGAGGGCUGCACGGUCCCCUGAUUGUCCCUUUGGCUGCUGUAGAAUAAUAAAAAUAAUUAAUAACAA